rnacentral:rRNA from 1 species
GAUGAACGCUGGCGGCGUGCCUAAUACAUGCCAGUCGAGCGAACAGACGAGGAGCUUGCUCCUCUGACGUUAGCGGCGGACGGGUGAGUAACACGUGGAUAACCUACCUAUAAGACUGGGAUAACUUCGGGAAACCGGAGCUAAUACCGGAUAAUAUAUUGAACCGCAUGGUUCAAUAGUGAAAGACGGUUUUGCUGUCACUUAUAGAUGGAUCCGCGCCGCAUUAGCUAGUUGGUAAGGUAACGGCUUACCAAGGCAACGAUGCGUAGCCGACCUGAGAGGGUGAUUGGCCACACUGGAACUGAGACACGGUCCAGACUCCUACGGGAGGCAGCAGUAGGGAAUCUUCCGCAAUGGGCGAAAGCCUGACGGAGCAACGCCGCGUGAGUGAUGAAGGUCUUCGGAUCGUAAAACUCUGUUAUUAGGGAAGAACAAAUGUGUAAGUAACUAUGCACGUCUUGACGGUACCUAAUCAGAAAGCCACGGCUAACUACGUG